UGUAAUACUAUUAGAAGUAUUAGAACAAAUUAAAUUAUUUUUAGAAAAUAUUUUAAUUUGUUUUUAUUUCAAGUAGAAACACUACUAUAUAAAUUAUAAACUAAAAUAAAUGUCAUAUACUAAGAAAAAGUGACCAAGGCCUCCAGUGCCCCAGGCUGGAAUCGAACCAGCGUCCUCUGCUAUCGCGGCAGGUGCCUGAGCCACUCGGCCACCGGGGUCACGGCAGCAUUGGUCGAAUUUUUCCAAGUAUAUGCAUCUCUUACUGAAGGCUUAGGCGCCCCCUAGCCAUCUCUAAGGUAGAACAUUCUUAAAUUAUAAUAUCCCGUUCUUCACGCUCAACUCAUAAAAAAGAAACGAGAUUUCCCGUCACUAUAAUCAUGAUUAAUAAUUAAUUAUUAUAUACAUGUCUUUACCCAUCACGAAACAAUUUUUCUUGCCCAAAUUGGGAACUUGACGACAAAACGACAACAAAAUAAAAAUGUGCCCUAGAGUAGCUUAUUAAGUUUCUGUUUCGGUUUGUGUAAAAUAUGCUGUUAAUACUGAAAAAGUAAAACUGACACUUUUUAGGGCUUAUUGCCAGACGUUUUACACGUGCGGCCUGUGGGUAAGUUUCACACAGAAGGCCUAUAAUACACUGCGUGUGCAAUACAACAACGUCCUUAGAAUGCUGUUGAGGCGACCUAAACACUGCAGCGCAUCGGGCAUGUUCGCCGAGGCUAGAACCGACGACUUCUUUGCCAUAAGGCGAAAAAGAAUUGCCUCACUGCUUGGGAGAGUGCGCGGAAGCAGCAACAGCAUGCUAAGGACGUUGGCCGAUCGCCUCGAC